rnacentral:rRNA from 1 species
GACGAACGCUGGCGGCGUGCUUAACACAUGCAAGUCGAACGGAGUCCAACUGAUCGCAAGUGAUGUGAAGACUUAGUGGCGAACGGGUGCGUAACACGUGAGAAACCUGCCCCGGUCUCUGGGAUAACAGUUGGAAACGACUGCUAAUACCGGAUGCCGCCGGCGGACCGCAUGGUCUGCCGUCGAAAGAUUUAUCGGAUCGGGAGAGUCUCGCGGCCUAUCAGCUAGUUGGUGAGGUAAUGGCUCACCAAGGCAUCGACGGGUAGCUGGUCUGAGAGGAUGAUCAGCCACACUGGGACUGAGACACGGCCCAGACUCCUACGGGAGGCAGCAGUGGGGAAUCUUGCACAAUGGGCGAAAGCCUGAUGCAGCAACGCCGCGUGCGGGAUGAAGGCCCUAGGGUUGUAAACCGCUUUCAGCAGGGAAGAAAUUGACGGUACCUGCAGAAGAAGGUGCGGCCAACUACGUGCCAGCAGCCGCGGUGACACGUAGGCACCAAGCGUUGUCCGGAUUUAUUGGGCGUAAAGAGCUCGUAGGCGGUUCAGUUAGU